GAUGAACGCUGGCGGCGUGCCUAACACAUGCCAGUCGAGCGAAGCGCUUAAAUUAGAUUUCUUCGGAAUGACGAUUUUUGUGACUGAGCGGCGGACGGGUGAGUAACGCGUGGGUAACCUGCCUCAUACAGGGGGAUAACAGUUAGAAAUGACUGCUAAUACCGCAUAAGACCCCAGCUUCGCAUGAAGCGGUGGUAAAAACUCCGGUGGUAUGAGAUGGACCCGCGUCUGAUUAGCUAGUUGGUAAGGUAACGGCUUACCAAGGCGACGAUCAGUAGCCGACCUGAGAGGGUGACCGGCCACAUUGGGACUGAGACACGGCCCAGACUCCUACGGGAGGCAGCAGUGGGGAAUAUUGCACAAUGGGGGAAACCCUGAUGCAGCGACGCCGCGUGAAGGAUGAAGUAUUUCGGUAUGUAAACUUCUAUCAGCAGGGAAGAAAGUGACGGUACCUGACGAAGAAGCCCCGGCUAACUACGUG
rnacentral:rRNA from 1 species